AUUCCACGCAGUCUGUUGAGCGCUCUACUGUGGUAAGUCACCAAAUCCAGUUCUUUUCUGAAUAGUCAUAGUAGGUGUGCUCAAAGACUGACGUGGAGUUUUAUUACAGUAUGCGGAGAGCUGAUGGACCAGUAGUGGAGCUCACUGUACUAAUUUGUGUUGACCAUUUAUUACAGGUGUAGCUUCCGAUCUUUGGUGCCACGGAAACAUCGCCAGGCCUAUGAUCUAGUAAUGCCCAGCAUGCCCACCUCCUUUCACACUUAAGUGAUGUAACAUUAAGGGCUCCAUCUGGCCUUUCUCUCAUGACCUGGAUUUCUCCCGAAGAGUUUCAGCCGCGCCAGUCAGCGAUUGCAGCGUUCGCAAUCGGUGCCUCCACUGAGGUUCAAGCGGUACAAAUGUUUUUGGAAAGCAGCGUGGCUCAGUCCAGAUCCAUGUUACUUUAGCUCCCUUUGUUGGACAAAAUAAUGAAGCAUGCGAGAACAGCGCGGUACGGACAGACGAUGCUGCUGGACUGGAGAGGUGCAGCUUACCUCGUCACAUAUGUGGAGAGCAAGCAGCAAGCUGAGGAAGCCAGUCGACGGAUAUCGCCCGUGACCUUCGAGCCACGACUCGUGGACAUAUUUGAAAAAAGUUGGACUAUAAAUCAACACCUGAAAUAAACAAACAAAAACAAAUAAAGAAGCAGAAACUAA